AACGCAUCUUGCGCUCCUUGGUAUUCCGAGGAGCAUGCCUGUUUGAGUGUCAUUUAACUUCUCAACCACAAUCAAUUUCUUUGGUCGUGGCUUGGAUGAUGGGGGUUUUAUUUUUUUGCAGGCUUUGGAAACAAGGUCUGCUCCCCUGAAAUGCAUUAGUGGUAUCUGAGCAGUAACUACUACAGGUGUGAUAAUUUAUCUAUGCCUUUGGUUACCACUGCGUGAACAGAUUACACUGCUUCUGAAAUCAUGUUUUGACAAAUUUGACCUCAAAUCAGGUAGGACUACCCGCUGAACUUAA
rnacentral:misc_RNA from 1 species